UUGGAGGGCAAGUCUGGUGCCAGCAGCCGCGGUAAUUCCAGCUCCAAUAGCGUAUAUUAAAGUUGUUGCAGUUAAAAAGCUCGUAGUUGAAUUUCGGGAUUGACGUGAUGGUCGUGCCUUAAGGGGUAUGAACUGUUACUGUUGAUUUCUCACCUUCUGGAGAAACUUGAUGUCCUUUAUUGGGUGUCUUGCGGAUCCAGGACCUUUACCUUGAAAAAAUUAGAGUGUUUAAAGCAGGCAUUUUUUGCUCGAAUACAUUAGCAUGGAAUAAUAGGAUAGGACGGCAUGGUUCUAUUUUGUUGGUUUCUAGGAUCACCGUAAUGAUUAAUAGGGAUAGUUGGGGGCAUUAGUAUUCAAUUGUCAGAGGUGAAAUUCUUGGAUUUAUUGAAGACUAACUACUGCGAAAGCAUUUGCCAAGGAUGUUUUCAUUAAUCAAGAACGAAAGUUAGGGGAUCGAAGACGAUCAGAUACCGUCGUAGUCUUAACCAUAAACUAUGCCGACUAGGAAUCAGACGAUGUUAAUUUUUUAGUGACUCGUUUGGCACCUUACGGAAACCAAAGUGUUUGGGUUC
rnacentral:rRNA from 1 species